UACGGAGGGUGCAAGCGCUAUCCGGAUUCACUGGGCUUAAAGGGUGCGUAGGUGGGCAGGUAAGUCAGUGGUGAAAUCUCCGGGCUUAACCCGGAAACUGCCAUUGAUACUAUCUGUCUUGAAUACCCUGGAGGUGAGCGGAAUAUGUCAUGUAGCGGUGAAAUGCUUAGAUAUGACAUAGAACACCCAUUGCGAAGGCAGCUCACUACGGGAAUAUUGACACUGAGGCACGAAAGCGUGGGGAGCAAACAGG
rnacentral:rRNA from 1 species